CGCCACGACGCGUUGCUCGCUUUAAAUCACGACUUUCCGCGAGCACGAGUCAGACUACACGGAAAUGCAAAUGCGACUCCCCGUUAAUUCUGAGCCCUCAAGCAGCUGCCACCGCCUUGGUGUUCGUCUCCGGGGUUGAAAUCGGAACACCCCAAGGAUCCCGAACUACCCCGGUCGAACACGUUUCCUUCGACGACUAGGAAGAGCCGAGAAAAAUAAGUGUGGGAGAUGCCACAUGGCGUGUUGCCCUGACGAACCGCAACGCUAAAUCUGGAGUCUCGGCUGCUCCAGCUAAGUCGAUGACAAAAUAAUCUCGGCAUGUAUUUACGUCGCACGCGUCCAACUGCGAUCCAUCAGAUUAUAUAAAAUCGCUUGUCAGACGAAAGCGGGGCGGAUUGAUAGUCGCGGAAAACUAAUCUGUAAUCUGUCACGCGAGCCGUGACACACGGUAAGACCAGAUUUUAUGCACUCUCGUAAGUGCGUCGUAUAGAGCAGGUAU